CGGGCAGCAUUAUAUCUUCGGAUAUUGUUCACUGGCUGGCAAAAACGAGAAAUCUCUAAAACGUUAUCAGGGGGAGGAUGUCUCUAUGGGUAUUUGGUUAUCAGCUAUUGCUCCUGAAAUUUAUAAGGAUGAGCGAUGGUCGUGUUUCGGGGAUUGUCAGAUGGAAAUGUUUACCUUGCCCGAGCAGGAUGCCGAUUCUCUUCUCUAUUUAUGGGAAAACUUUAUGUCCUGCGGUAAUCCUUGCAAAUGUUGAGGUACGUUAGUUAUGUCGGGGAGAGGGAAGAUAAGAAAAAUUCCAAAUCCACACAAAAAGAUAGAAAAGUACAGCUUCAAUUAAACUUUUUAUCUUUUUUUUUCACUUAAUUAAAUCUAUUUUCUCUAUAUUACAAAUUUAAUGUUUUGGCUUUUUACGAACGACAUUAAUUUAAAUUAAAUAAAAUCUAUAGAGCUGUGUAAACGUUUUUGUAUAAAAUGGUUAUUGCUUGGAAUAUCGACAUUAUUCCUGCAAUGCAAAUAUUUUUGUGUUCAUUAACUGCAAAAACAAUCGAAAUAGUUCCGAAUAAUUUUGCUAAAAAAUUUGCCAUGCAGGUGUAAAGAUUUCGAUUAGCCUCGCUUAUGUCCCUGCGUACUUCAUGUAAAAUAUUUAUUGCAAUGCUCAUUGUGUAAAGUGUAUAAGUACAGACUUGACUGCGAUCAAAUUACGUCAUAGCGUCAAAUUACGUCAUUAGCGACGAAAAACGUCAUAAAAUCAGAGAUAAGCAUAAAA